rnacentral:rRNA from 1 species
GAUGAACGCUGGCGGCGUGCCUAAUACAUGCAAGUCGAGCGAACAGACGAGGAGCUUGCUCCUCUGACGUUAGCGGCGGACGGGUGAGUAACACGUGGAUAACCUACCUAUAAGACUGGGAUCACUUCGGGAAACCGGAGCUAAUACCGGAUAAUAUAUUGAACCGCAUGGUUCAAUAGUGAAAGACGGUUUUGCUGUCACUUAUAGAUGGAUCCGCGCCGCAUUAGCUAGUUGGUAAGGUAACGGCUUACCAAGGCAACGAUGCGUAGCCGACCUGAGAGGGGGAUAGGCGACAUGGGAACGGAGACACGGUCCAGACUCCUGAGGGAGGCAGCAGAAGGGAAUGUUCCGCAAUGGGCGAAAGCCUGACGGAGCAACGCCGAGUGAGUGAUGAAGGUCUUCGGAUCGUAAUACUCUGUUAUUAGGGGAGAACAAAUGUGGAAGUAACCAUGCACGUCUUGACGGUAACUAAUCAGAAAGCCACGGCUAACUACGUG